UGUCUCCUCCGUCCCCCUGGACGGAUUCGGCCCGGGGCUCACGCUCCGGGCCUUUUUUC
rnacentral:ncRNA from 1 species